rnacentral:lncRNA from 1 species
GACAUCCUCUCUCAUUGACAGUGCAAACACGGGAACUGUCAUGGUCGUGCUCGUAGUGACUGUAUCCACACAACAGUCUAUGCAUCUCGACUAGAGAUUGUCGGAUAUGGCUGACAUAUCGGACCUUGUAUUUGCCAGGGUAACCCUGAACCAUGUUGACAUCACAUUUCCCAUGCUCGGGCAAUGGGUUCUUCUUGACAUUAGGACCCACGUCCUCGAAAAACAAUAUAUCGCUUCUCACAAGGUCUUGAACCUUAGUUUUCAACAGGUAACAAUUCUC